UUUUAUAAUAAAUGAGUAAGGAUGGCAAGUUCUUUUAGGCUGGAUCGUCUUGGCACUGCAUUUUUGUGGACAUCAUUAAGAUCCCUAGAAUGGCUCUCAGUUAUAUGGAGUCCAAAAAUUGAUCUUACUUAUAUUAAACUAUAUCAUGGGCUUGUCAGAAUAUUGAUUUUAUUAAUUGACUUUAUUUUAUUUAUUUAUUUAUUAUUUUUUGAGACAGAAUUUCACUCUUGUGGCCCAGGCUGGAGUGCAAUGGCGUGAUCUCAGCUCACUGCAACUUCUACCUCUCGGAUUCAAGUGAUUCUCCUGCCUCAGCCUCCCAGGUAGCUGGGUUUACAGGAAUGAAAUGGACGUUCUUACUCAUCAUACCAUAAGCAUCCAGGUGAAUGAUUGCUCACUUCUUUCAUCUAAUGAGGAAUUGGCUUUCUUGAGAAUCUCAAUGCAGUGUACCUCCAACCUUAACAGACUGCUGUAAAACACCCUGACCAUUCUUUAGUAUAAGCACUGAAGAAGACAGUAUGUUGACCACGAGGCACCUGGCCUGGCUCAUAGUAUGCCAUCAAGAAAUGCUAAUUUUCUAUUUCCUCUUUUUCAAAGAGUUAUUUCAAGAAAGAAAGGAGAGGAGAGGAUGUUACAAAUUCCAUGUAAAUAAAAUUUGUCACUAAUUCUGUGAACUAAUUGAUAUCAUAAUUUGAUUCUCUUACCUCUUUUUAAUCUCUCUAUUAGUCCAUUUUUAUGCUGUGAAUAAAGACAUACCUGAGACUGGGCAAUUUACAAAAGAA
rnacentral:lncRNA from 10 species